rnacentral:rRNA from 1 species
ACUCAAAUGAAUUGACGGGGACCCGCACAAGCGGUGGAGCAUGUGGUUUAAUUCGAGGCUACGCGAAGAACCUUACCCAGGCUUGAAAUGUAGUUGAUAUGCCAUGAAAGUGGUCCUUCUCGCAAGAGACAAUUACACAGGUGCUGCAUGGCUGUCGUCAGCUCGUGCUGUGAAGUGUUGGGUUAAGUCCCGCAACGAGCGCAACCUUUGUCUUUAGUUGCCAUCACGUCAUGGUGGGCACUCUAGAGAGACUGCCGGUGAUAAACUGGAGGAAGGAGGAGACGACGUCAAGUCAGUAUGGCCCUUAUGCCUGGGGCUACACACGUGCUACAAUGGCCGUUACAAAGGGGUGCUAAACCGUGAGGUGGCGCAAAUCCCAAAAAGACGGCCUCAGUUCAGAUUGGAGGCUGCAACUCGCCUCCAUGAAGUCGGAAUCGCUAGUAACGGUAGAUCAGCAUCGCUACCGUGAAUACGUUCCCGGGUCUUGUACACACCGCCCGU